GACGAACGCUGGCGGCGUGCUUAACACAUGCAAGUCGUACGGUAAGGCCCUUUCUGUGGUACACGAGUGGCGAACGGGUGAGUAACACGUGAGUAACCUGCCCACCACUUUGGGAUAACUCUAGGAAACUGGUGCUAAUACUGGAUAUGUGCUCCUGCUGCAUGGUUGGGGUUGGAAAGCUCCGGGGGGUGUGGAUGGACGCGCGGCCGAUCUGUCUGUUGGUGGGGGAGUUGCCUACCAAGGCGGCCACGGGUAGCCGGCCGGAGAGGGUGGCCGGCCACAUUGGGAAUGAGAUAAGGGCCAGACGCCGUGGGGAGGCAGGAGUGGGGGAUAUUGCCCAAUUGGCGCAAGCCCGAUGCAGCAACGCCGGGUGCGGGGUGACGGCCCUCGGGUUGUAAACCGCUUUCCGCAGGUACGAAGGUGUUUGUGAGGGUACCUGGAGAAGAAGCACCGGCUAACUACGUG
rnacentral:rRNA from 1 species